rnacentral:rRNA from 1 species
UUGGAGGGCAAGUCUGGUGCCAGCAGCCGCGGUAAUUCCAGCUCCAAUAGCGUAUAUUAAAGUUGUAGCAGUUAAAAAGCUCGUAGUUGAAUUUCGGGGUUCUACCGUUGGUCGGGCUUUGUCUGUACUGGUGUGUAGAAUUUCUACCUUCUGGGGAACCAUCAUGCUAUUAAUUUAGCGUGGUGGGAAACCAGGACCUUUACCUUGAAAAAAUUAGUGUGUUCAAAGCAGGCUUAUGUCUGAAUACAUUAGCGUGGAAUAAUAGAAUAGGACGGUGGUCCUGUUUUGUUGGUUUCUGAAUCACCGUAAUGAUUAAUAGGGAUAGUUGGGGGCAUUAGUAUUCAAUUGUCAGAGGUGAAAUUCUUGGAUUUAUUGAAGACUAACUUCUGCGAAAGCAUUUGCCAAGGAUGUUUUCAUUAAUCAAGAACGAAAGUUAGGGGAUCGAAGACGAUCAGAUACCGUCGUAGUCUUAACCAUAAACUAUGCCGACUAGGGAUCGGACGAUGUUAAUUUUUCUUGACUCGUUCGGCGCCUUACGGGAAAC